GCGGGCGACACCCCGGCGGCGGGGUGGGGGCGGGCAGGGCGGGCGGGCGGGAGGGCAAGUCCCCUCGGCGGAGAGGCCGGAGAGAUGUGGCACCUUAUAGCAUCCUGGUGCAGCCCUGAAGCUCCUGUCCUUGACCCCCACAUAGUAGGCAUUGACUUGCCAACCAGCUGUACCGAACACGGACGCAGCACCCGCAUCAGGAGAGAGAAAUACAGAUGCAGAAGCAGGACAUGGACAAAUGACAGAAGAUAAGGUAUUGCUCCGGCAAGCAGAACAUCCUGUCUUCAAGAUGGAGACUGCAUUAAGCACCAGACUAGAGGCAAGGCUGGACUGGUCCUCCCUGUUGAAACUGGUCAUCUGUACCACCCACUGAGAAGGUCAGUCCUCUUGUGACACUGGCAUCUUCAGAAGCUACCACAAUAAAAAAUGCAUAAGAUAACAAACCUGAAAAAGGGAGGGGCUUAAAAGGAUCCUUAGGGGAUUAAGGUGCUUAACAUCCAUUUAAAUUCAAUGGCAAAGAGGCCCUAAUUUCUUGAGGAUCUUUUGAGUGAUUUGAGGCUUAGGAGUGGGAGCUGUUUGGUUUUUGGCUGUGAAAUGUGUAUUUGUUGGGGGAGCAGUUAUGUUUCAAGACACUUGAUUCACAAUAAUGUGUAUCAUGGAGGAAGAGAAUUGCUGCAAUUUCAUUAAUUUUAAGUAGUAUCCUACUGCCCCACCUGAUACAACAGGUCAUUUUCUAAGACUAUAGAUAUCAUCAUUGUGGCUGUCUGCUUCUUCUUCAAAGCAUAAGCCAAAAGUGACAUACGCCUGAUGAGAUAACAUUUUCCUCAACAUACUUAGUUGUCUGCUCAACCAAAUUACAACCGAAUGGCAGGAAACAAUCAUAUGCUGUCAGUUUAGUAGAGUAUUUGCUAUUAUGUCUCAUCUGAACCUGAAUUUAAACUGACUUGAAGAGAACCACUCCCAUGUGUCUUGAAAUCUGGCUAAUGGCAUAUUAUCAUGGGCAAUGUAGAUUAUUUGGAGAAAUCUGUAGAGGCCACGUUUGAUUCAAUUUUAUUGAAAAUCGUCAGUAUCCGGGAGAGUAAAUUGACAUCAGUGAAACUCCCUGAUGUAGCUAAACUAGAAGCUACAAACUGCAGCCAGGGCAGAGAAAUCAUUUAUAGGGAAUAGCAGGAGGAUGGAUAGAACAUUCAAACUGGAAAAACUGAAACUGAUACGCAUAGGAAAAAGGGACACACAUUCAUCAGGUGGAAAAAUGUAAGGACGUGCAAUACUGAAAGAAACCUCAGGAGCAGCAGGAAGGAUUGCAGUGUCACACAGCAAGAAAACAAAGCUCUUUGGAGCAGUACAUACAAAGGUUGCCAAACCAGAAGAAAUACAACGGUGCUUUGGAAUCAUAGGAAAUUUGGCUUGAAGGGAUCUCAUAAAAUAUCCAAAUCCAUUCCUGUUUCUCAACACAGGAACAAUUGUAUCUAUCUAAUUGCCAAAUUCUGUUUUGUUAGCCUUUUCUUAAAAACCUCUCAUCAUGGAUUUUAUUCAACUUCCAUAGUGCUUCAUUGCCCUUAUCAUUGGAAACAUUUUCCUGAGGUCUGACUCCAAUCUCCCUUGCUGUUAUUUAAAUGCAAGAAUGCUGCGUUCAGCUCUGGACAACACACUCCCGGAAAGAUAUGGAUUGUAUCUGCAUUAGCAUUUUAGUUCAGAUCAGGAGUUUAUGUUUAAAGUCCCCAGAUUAUCCCUACUUAUUGCUCUGUUUCAGACAACAAAGCAGGCUCAGACUCACAGACUUUCAGACAAAAUUAAAUCAGAAGGUGUGUUCCAGGAGUGCAUCUGAUGAACUCCAGUCAUAGACAUCUGGUUUGCAGGACCAAUCUAGACCUAUUCCAAAAUAAAAACCUUAACACAUGCAUAAUUGUGGAUGUUAGGCCUUCAGCUUCAACAGCUUUACUCUAUAGCUCCUGUUUUACACUCACUCCACACUUGUACUGGGCCACACUCCUUGGUAGUUUAGAUAUAGCUCCUGGCAAAUUUUAAUCAAAAAGCUGUGAUGGGCUGGAAGAACGGAUUUAUUAAGGAAGAGCAAGCCAGGUACACAAACAGGGCACAAGGAGUUUUGUAGCCAUCAUUUACCCUGGUUCCCGUGACAUGAAACAGCCAUGGUCAUGCAGCUUGUGCAGCCCUUUCCUUUAUCUCAGACCACUCCAGACUGGUCAGCUCAAGGACAGAAAGGUGAAUUAUAAUGGCCAACAAUUAUACAGACUUUAAGAAUGGAAGAUUUUAAUUUGGUAUCUCAGAAUAUAACCAAGAAUGAGAUGUAAUGAAGAUAAGAAAAGAAAAACAGAUAAUUAAUUUCAGAAGACAAUGUGCUGGCAAGACAUCUUUUAAACAAUGGAGCAGUCUCCCAGACUCUUCUCAGUAAUGCUUCCUAUUUGCUUGGUACUUUUAUAACCAGAUUGGCAAAUGCUAGUAAACAGCCUGCAGGACAUUAUCAUGCUCUGGCAAGGGUUUGGGCUGGAUGAUCAUUUCCAUCUAGACUUCCUCUCAACCCAGACUAAAGUUUUGGAUGCAGGCUCUCUUUCUUGCUUUGCAUUUGCCAUGAAACCCAUGUGUAAGUUGGAGCUCCUAGGUACAACAUUUAGUAUCAACAAAUGCCAGUCAGAAGUCUUGGGAUCUGAGGCAAAUCUCUUCGGAGAUGACCAAUGCAUCUCCACUGAUUCUGAGGACCCUUGAAACAAACUUUUGAUACUCACAAAAAUGGACGCAUGUCUGUAAAUGUGUGAGAACACGGAGCCUCUCUCCCCUCUUGGUACUCCAAGAUAGCAAGCAGCAAUCCCUCAUUGGCCUCAAAAUUGUACAGCUCUGGUAACAGGUUACUUUGCCUGAGCUGGUGUUUCCUGCCAAACAGUGGCAUGCUGCACAGUGUGCUUGUGGAGUCAAGCUGACUUGUACCUUGUCGGUCUGGUAUGUGGUCAGCACAAGUCUGCAUCUUUCUGCACCUGCUCUUGCAGACAUGCCUUUAAUUAACCUCUGUGUGAAUAAGCAAAAAGCAAAAUAUCAAAACAACUUCUCCCUUUUUUUGGCUCGUUCCAUGUGCCUCAUCUCUUUAAUACCUGUCAUCAGACUGUCAGAACAUUGAGGCAUGAAUCACCUUAUUUUAAUGUCUUCUACAGAAUCAAGCACCUUGUCCCAAAAAAAUGCAACAGAGACCAAGAGAACUGCACUGAACUCACAGUGAGGGCUUAAAGAGUUUUGCAACUUCUUUGGGGCUGAAGUGUCCUGUCGACGGCUCUAUAAUGUUGAAACCCUCUCUAAAAAAUUGUUUUUUAAAAAAGUCCCAGUUUAGCCACCCAUAAAUUGAGUCAUCUAAGCCUUACAAGUCAUUUUGAAAAAUCACAGCCACAUUCUUAAACAGAGAGGCCACAUUUUCAUUUUAGCAAUAUGGAUAUAAAUUAGAAUCCCUCUUCCUCUCUGUGUCUAAAUCAAAGAGCAAUGCCUUUUAGAGGACUGUAUGUUGUACCCCUUCAGCGCACACACAGGCAUACUAAGACCAAGACCACCAAUAGCAAAUGCAGAAUUAUUUAUUGCCAUAUGAAAGAUCAGUACACACAACACAGAGCAAAUAGAAAAAAAAUUGGAAAAUGAGUUUUAAAAUUAAGAUUACAGAGCAGAAAUAACAGAAAAAGCACUUAAACAUAUUGCUGCCCCAAGCGGGUGAGAAUUUCAAUGGAAAAUAACAACCAAAUGUUUCUGUGCUGUGGUUGGCUUUGGAAAUCAAAUGAAAUUCAACUUAAACUCAAUUUAUUCUGAAGAUUUUGAUAUUAUAGAGGCACAUAUGCAUGUAGUAUUCAGUUAUUUCUCAAACACAAAACUCUUCUGGGCUCAAAUUUGUGUAACACCAAAAAAGGGUUUUAAAAAGAGAAAUCCCUCUAUUCUGUGAAACUGUUUCUGGGAACUUUCCUGGAAAUCCCAGCAAGACAAGCCAAAGAAAAUUAUCUAUGGGGAAUUGUGAUUGUUGCAGCAAAUAUGUGCUUAUACUCUGAUUCACUUAAUUAAGCCCUUCAACUGAAUAAUGGAAUAGAAAACAAGGGACAUACUGAAGAAUAGUAACCAAUCUAUAACAAGAUCAUACCAGUUAUUAACUAUACGUUACACAAAUGUAAACCCAAACCAGCAGCAAAGUCAGACUGCACUUAUGACUUUCAAUAAAUGCUUUAAAGCAGCAUUUGUCAAUGGUGUUAAUUUUUAAUUAUAUGACUGGUGACAACACUGUAUACCACCCAAGAUUUCAGCAUGCUGGGAAAAUCUAGUUUCUCUUUUGAAGUUAAAUUUCAAAAAACCAAUAAUUUCUGAAGGAUAUUAAU